UAGGGAAUCUUCCGCAAUGGGCGAAAGCCUGACGGAGCAACGCCGCGUGAGUGAUGAAGGUCUUCGGAUCGUAAAACUCUGUUAUUAGGGAAGAACAAAUGUGUAAGUAACUAUGCACGUCUUGACGGUACCUAAUCAGAAAGCCACGGCUAACUACGUGCCAGCAGCCGCGGUAAUACGUAGGUGGCAAGCGUUAUCCGGAAUUAUUGGGCGUAAAGCGCGCGUAGGCGGUUUUUUAAGUCUGAUGUGAAAGCCCACGGCUCAACCGUGGAGGGUCAUUGGAAGCUGGAAAACUUGAGUGCAGAAGAGGAAAGUGGAAUUCCAUGUGUAGCGGUGAAAUGCGCAGAGAUAUGGAGGAACACCAGUGGCGAAGGCGGCUUUCUGGUCUGUAACUGACGCUGAUGUGCGAAAGCGUGGGGAUCAAACAGG
rnacentral:rRNA from 1 species